AAACCCGUGUCUAAUAAUAAUUGUUGCGUUUAAUUAUUUAUAUAGCGCUAUAGGUUUCAGAUUUAUGUGUUAGAUAAAUAAAUAAAAAAAUAAACAAACAAGCAAACACAUAAAAGUUUUUAGAAAUGAUACAAACGCAUAAUCAGUUUUAACCAUUCUGACGUCCUGGGGACGGUAGAAACAGAGCAGGGGACGAUGUGACGAAUGUUUUGGGAUGUUUUCGGGACGGUAGCGUCACGUGUAAAACGUAUAAAACGUAUAAAGUAGCAGGUGAAUAAAUGUUCAGUCGCUCUAAGGAAGCUGCUUCCCGCUAAGUGACUCCUAGUGUCUAAGCUGUGAUUGGUGGAUCGUCAUGUCAAUCAUCUGCAGAGCUUUAUCUGUCACGCGCUUCUCCGAUUCCCAUGGCAAUGGUGAGCUGAGCGGGAAAUCCCAGUCACUAUCAGCCCUGAGGCGACUUUUAAAGUCUUUUAUUUUUAACAUAAAAUGUACCAGCAGUCGAAAAGAAAGCCGAUAAUGAGGUAAGACAUGUGAAAAUGCCUGUAUUAAUGUUAAUAUUCCGGGUACAUAUUUAAAAAAGUAAACUACUCGGGUUAAUCAGGUUAGUGUGUGCUGAGGGACGCGGAGGCUAGUUUAGGUAGCUAAGUUAGCUAACCGUCUGUUCGCUUAGCUGGUGAUGGAAAGUCUUCUUUCAGCUCUUCUGUCAUUCAUGAACAGGUUAGUAACACAUUUAUUCACACACAUAUAAAUCUGUUAAAGACAGAACUGUGGACUAUGUUUAAACCAUGUAUAAACACUUCAUGUACUGCACACAUGCACAGAAACACAACAUUAAUCACUUGAAAUCUUUUUAUUUAUUUUUAUUACUGCACUUAAGCCUCUUUUUUCACUGCUUCACAACAUUGCCUGAGGAAAAUGAAAUGGGAAAAAAAAUCUUGUAAACAAUAAAUAAAUAAACAGUAAAAACAAACCAAAAAAAGCAUUCCAUUAUAAAAUGCAAAAAAUUAAAAUAAAAACUAACUGUUUAAAGGAAGAAUCCAUUAAAUCCAUGUACAGGAUCUGAAUAUGAACAUGCUAAUGCAGUAACACAGUAAAAAAAAACAAAGAAAGAAAGAAAAAAAAAAAUAACCUAAAACUCCACAGCAAUAUGUAAACAAAUGAAAACUGCUGUUCCAGGGGUCCAAGCACUUUGGCCAGCAGGUGGAAAUGUCCUGAAUGUCAGUGUCAAUGAGAUGUGACGGGCAAAUGGCUUUUUUUUUUUUUUUUUUUUUUACCCCACAAAACAUUGAACAACUUGGAAACGACCUGUGGCCAUUUGGGGGGAAAUUGAUGGAACAAUUUUGGUGGAAAAAAAUGCAAAUUGUCAAGCAUCAACUCGGCUCAAACAUCUGUCACUUAUUAAAUUUAACUGUACAGUGCAUAUUAGUAGAGGAAACAAAAUUACAACUCCUAAAACACACACACACACACACACACACACACACACACAGAGCCUCAUCACCUUGUCACUUUUGCUUGGACCCCCUUUAAAUCUAGGAGAUAAAUAAAGUGCAUCUUUACAGUGGUUUUUAAUCCAUAACAACAAAGUGGAAAACAAUGCACGCCUACAUGAAUCUAGACCCAGAGACAUUCAAACCGUUCUCUCUCUCACACACACACACACACACACACACACAACAUCAUCUACGACAGGAGUUCAUUACCACAGAGCAGAGCAGAACACGCAGUACCUUAGCAACACCUCUUGGAAGGUGUCGUUAAGGAAAUGGAUCAGUAGCAAGCUGGAAAUGUUGCAGGACCAAUCAGGUGUUUACGAGUAGAGAUGAUUGACAGGUUCUGCCACCUAUCAGUGUCGAGAGCAUUUGAUAUGACAUCACAGACAUGCUGUUGCUAUAGAGACCGGGCAGUUA